CAAUAGCGUAUAUUUAAGUUGCUGCAGUUAAAAAGCUCGUAGUUGGAUUUCGGGUGGGAAUGGCCGGUCCGCCGUUUCGGUGUGCACUUGCUACGCCCACCUUGCUGCCGGGGACGUGCUCUUGAGUUCACGCUCGGGACACGGAGUCGGCGAGGUUACUUUGAGUAAAUUAGAGUGUUCAAAGCAGGCCUACGCUCUGAAUACAUUAGCAUGGAAUAACACGAUAGGACUCUGGCAUAUCUUGUUGGUCUGUAGGACCGGAGUAAUGAUUAAGAGGGACAGUCGGGGGCAUUCGUAUUUCAUUGUCAGAGGUGAAAUUCUUGGAUUUAUGAAAGACGAACUACUGCGAAAGCAUUUGCCAAGGAUGUUUUCAUUAA
rnacentral:rRNA from 1 species